ensembl:snRNA U6 U6 spliceosomal RNA
GUGCUCCCUUCAGCAGCACAUAUACUAAAAUUGGAAUGUUACAGAAAAGAUUUGCAUGGCCUUGCACAAGGAUGGCAUGCAAAUUCAUGAAGCAUUCCAUGUGUUU